UCUAGACAAUGAAACCGACGUCCCUUUGUUUCCCCUUCGUCCCUUGAAACCCUACCAUUGUAUAACUGCUUCACUAAUGAUUUCAUUACCAUCCCCUCCUUCAAUUCCCAUUCAAAACUCCUGGUGAUGUUCCAAGCCGAGAAGAAACGGGGACGACGGUGACGAUGGGCACUCCGGUAACAUUAUGGGUUUUAAAAUUGAUCUUGUACGGGGAUGACGAUGAUGACGCGUACUCAGGAAAAAAAGACGACAUUUGCUUGUUAGUUCAAUUAUCAUAAGGGCAUUGAAGUUUCCCAUGGAGUCUUUUCAGCCAUGGGCACCAAAAUCAAAGGG
rnacentral:lncRNA from 1 species